ensembl:lncRNA novel transcript
GGCGACCCAGGCCCAGGCAGUGAGGGAGCACUUGUGUCCAGAUGGCAUUCUGUCCGCUUCCUCCUCCAGCCGGUGCUCAGUGUGGCACAAACUGGGCAAGACCAUUCUCACCCAACCCUCUGCUGAGCCCUAGGUGUACCUGCUGUUGGCAAAUGUUUCCAGCUGCCUGGCAAGCUCAAGAGCAGACAGUUCUGACUUUCAGAAGGAGGGGCUGUCCAGGGAGAAGAGGAACAUGGAACAGAAAGCAUUGACGUUGAGGUAUUUGAGAUAACAUUUGGGGAUAGCAGAAGCAUCCUGUUGCUGUUCUGCAGCAUCCCACACUCAUGUCUGGGCCUCCUUCCUGUCUCUGCUCUCUGGUCACGCUGUCACUUGUAGACUGUUCUGCCUAGAAGCCAUGUGUGGGCCAGCUUGCACCUAACAGACAUUAGGUAGCACUAAAACAGAUGCACACUGCCCUGUGAGGGGCAUGGGAAUACUGUAAUGGGCAUGAA